GACGAACGCUGGCGGCGUGCCUAAUACAUGCAAGUCGAGCGGACGAAUCGAAAGCUUGCUUUUGAUUCGUUAGCGGCGGACGGGUGAGUAACACGUGGGCAACCUGCCCUGUAGACGGGGAUAACACCGAGAAAUCGGUGCUAAUACCGGAUAACACGAAAUGUCGCAUGACGUUUCGUUGAAAGACGGCGCAAGCUGUCGCUACAGGAUGGGCCCGCGGGGCAUUAGCUAGUUGGUGAGGUAACGGCUCACCAAGGCGACGAUGCGUAGCCGACCUGAGAGGGUGAUCGGCCACACUGGGACUGAGACACGGCCCAGACUCCUACGGGAGGCAGCAGUAGGGAAUCUUCCGCAAUGGACGAAAGUCUGACGGAGCAACGCCGCGUGAGCGAAGAAGGCCUUCGGGUCGUAAAGCUCUGUUGUUAGGGAAGAACAAGUAACGCAGUAACUGGCGUUACCGUGACGGUACCUAACGAGAAAGCCACGGCUAACUACGUG
rnacentral:rRNA from 1 species